GAGCUCAUUAGUGGGAGGACGGCACCAAGACAUUUAUAAAGGAUCUGCCCGCAUGUCCCAAACACUUCCCACUAGGCCCUGCCUCCUGCACUGGGCCUCAAAUAUAUUUAUUUAAAGGUCCUGCUCUGUUGCCCAGACUGGAGUCCAGUGGUGUGAUCAUGGCUCACUGCAGCGUCCGCCUGCUGGACUGAAGUGAUCCUUCCACCUCAGCCUCCCUAGUGCUGGGACUACAGGUAAGUGCUGAGGAUACAGCAAAGAACAAGUCAGACAUGGUCCAUGCCCUCACGGAGCUCACAGCUGAUUGGUGGAGACAGGUCGUAAACAAGAAGGCUUGAUGAAUGUUAUGAAAGGAAGGAAGAUGAGCAGUGGGUGUCUACCGCAAAGCAGCCUUCGCCCUGACUUUCCUCCCAAAUGCCUAUUUUUUCAGAGGACAUUUAAAGAAAUCUGCUGGCAUUGGCCCUGGCUGGGCUGUUGUAAGGCAAACCCACGCCUCUGAUUUCUUCCCCAGAAGCUUUAGCCCUGCCCACAUGGCUUCUCCUAGAGGGUGUCACCCUGCAGGUCUGAGGUUGCUGCUGGCAACGGGAGCACCUUGGGCACUGCAGUCUGGAAUGUGCAUGCUGGCCCUCAGCUGCUGUGCCAAAGGGUGGUGGGGAGAGCCCUGGGAGGGCAUGCUUGAUGAUUCCUUUUUAUUUUUAUUUUUUAGAGACAGGGUCUCGCGCUGUAGCCCAGGCUGGAGUGUGGUGUAGUGGUGUGAUCUCGGCUCACUGCAACCUCCGCCUCCCAGGUUCAAGUGAUUCUCUUGCCUCCGCGUCCUGAGUAGCUGAGAUUACAGCCACACCUGGCUAAUUUUUGUACUUUUACUAGAGAUGGGGUUUCACCAUGUUGGCCAUGCCGGUCAUGAACUCCUGACCUCAAGUGAUCCGCCUGCCCUGGCCUCCCAAAGUGCUGGGAUUACAGAUGUGAGCCACCACGCCCAGCCAUGCUCGAUGAUUCUUGACGGGCCCUGGAUCCAGCUGACAGCCACCCGGGAGCCGCACCACGGGGAAUGCUGCGUAGGUUCUCAAGUGCACAUCUCACAGCUUCGCUGACAGGACAGCAAAGGACCAGAGAGAGGAAGUAACUCACCCAAGGCCCUUCAGGUGACUGGUGCACAGCCUGGGCAGAAGCCAAGUUUCCUGAUUCUGAGGCCAUUCAGGGUUGACCUCGCCCCCAAAUCAUCAGUUCUGGAAACUGAAAGUCCAAGAUCACAGCUCCAGCAGAACCAGUGUCUGGUGGGGACCCUUCCUGGUUCAUGGACAACUGUCUUCUUGCUGUGUCCUCACGAUUAAAAGAGUGAGAAAUAUC
rnacentral:lncRNA from 1 species